AUGGCUGUCGUCAGCUCGUGCCGUGAGGUGUUGGGUUAAGUCCCGCAACGAGCGCAACCCCUAUCCUCUGUUGCCCCGCAAGGGGAUCUCUGAGGAAACUGCCGGCGAAGAGCUGGAGGAAGGUGGGGACGACGUCAAGUCAUCAUGGCCCUUAUGUCCAGGGCUACACACGUGCUACAAUGGCGGCUACAGAGGGUAGCAAGACCGCGAGGUGGAGCCAAUCCCUAAAAGCCGUCUCAGUUGGGAUCGGAGUCUGCAACUCGACUCCGUGAACGUGGAAUCGCUAGUAAUCGUGGAUCAGCAACGCCACGGUGAAUACGUUCCCGGGCCUUGUACACACCGCCCGUCACACCACGAAAGCCGGUUGCACCCGAAACUGGUGGGCUAACCCCUUCGGGGGAGGCAGCCAACUAAGGUGUGGUUGGUGAUUGGGGUGAAGUCGUAACAAGGUAGCCGUAGGGGAACCUGCGGCUGGAUCACCUCCUUUCUAAGGA
rnacentral:rRNA from 2 species